rnacentral:rRNA from 1 species
UACGGGGGGAGCAAGCGUUGUUCGGAUUUACUGGGCGUAAAGGGCGCGUAGGCGGCCAGCACAAGUCAGUUGUGAAAUCUCCGGGCUUAACUCGGAAAGGUCAACUGAUACUGUGCGGCUAGAGUGCAGAAGGGGCAACUGGAAUUCUCGGUGUAGCGGUGAAAUGCGUAGAUAUCGGGAGGAACACCUGAGGCGAAGGCGGGCUACUGGGCCGAUACUGACGCUGAUGCGCGAAAGCCAGGGGAGCGAACGGG